AGUGUGUUUGGGGACUGUGGGAUUCUUUCAUCAGUUUGUCUCGUUAGACAGGUCAGAGUGUGUUUGGGGACUGUGGGAUUCUUUCAUCAGUUUGUCUCGUUAGACAGGUCAGAGUGUGUUUGGGGACUGUGGGAUUCUUUCAUCAGUUUGUCUCGUUAGACAGGUCAGAGUGUGUUUGGGGACUGUGGGAUUCUUUCAUCAGUUUGUCUCGUUAGACAGGUCAGAGUGUGUUUGGGGACUGUGGGAUUCUUUCAUCAGUUUGUCUCGUUAGACAGGUCAGAGUGUGUUUGGGGACUGUGGGAUUCUUUCAUCAGUUUGUCUCGUUAGACAGGUCAGAGUGUGUUUGGGGACUGUGGGAUUCUUUCAUCAGUUUGUCUCGUUAGACAGGUCAGAGUGUGUUUGGGGACUGUGGGAUUCUUUCAUCAGUUUGUCUCGUUAGACAGGUCAGAGUGUGUUUGGGGACUGUGGGAUUCUUUCAUCAGUUUGUCUCGUUAGACAGGUCAGAGUGUGUUUGAAGUUGUUGAGGUAUGGAGUUUUCUUGGCAAUACACUGUAGACUUGUGUUUCAAAGUAGAG